UACAGAGGGUCUCAAGCGUUGUUCGGAUUCAUUGGGGUCGGUAAAGGGUGUGUAGGUGGCGCGCUAAGUCGGGUGUGAAACUUUCGGAGGCUUAACUCCGAAACUGCAUUCGAUACUGGCGUGCUUGAGGACUGGAGAGGAGACUGGAAUUUACGGUGUAGCGGUGAAAUGCGUAGAUAUCGUAAGGAAGACCAGUGGCGAAGGCGGGUCUCUGGACAGUUCCUGACGCUGGAGGCACGAAGGCCAGGGAGCAAACGGG
rnacentral:rRNA from 1 species